UACGAAGGGUGCAAGCGUUACUCGGAAUUACUGGGCGUAAAGCGUGCGUAGGUGGUGAGUUAAGUCUGUCGUGAAAGCCCCGGGCUCAACCUGGGAAUGGCGAUGGAUACUGGCUCGCUAGAGUGCGGUAGAGGAGAGUGGAAUUCCCGGUGUAGCAGUGAAAAUGCGUAGAGAUCGGGAGGAACACCGGUGGCGAAGGCGGGUCUCUGGGCCGUAACUGACGCUGAGGAGCGAAAGCAUGGGUAGCGAACAGG
rnacentral:rRNA from 1 species